rnacentral:rRNA from 1 species
AACGAACGCUGGCGGCGGGCUUAACACAUGCAAGUCGAGCGCCCCGCAAGGGGAGCGGCAGACGGGUGAGUAACGCGUGGGAAUCUACCCAUCACUACGGAACAACUCCGGGAAACUGGAGCUAAUACCGUAUACGUCCUUCGGGAGAAAGAUUUAUCGGUGAUGGAUGAGCCCGCGUUGGAUUAGCUAGUUGGUGGGGUAAUGGCCUACCAAGGCGACGAUCCAUAGCUGGUCUGAGAGGAUGAUCAGCCACACUGGGACUGAGACACGGCCCAGACUCCUACGGGAGGCAGCAGUGGGGAAUAUUGGACAAUGGGCGAAAGCCUGAUCCAGCCAUGCCGCGUGAGUGAUGAAGGCCCUAGGGUUGUAAAGCUCUUUCACCGGUGAAGAUAAUGACGGUACCUACAGAAGAAGCCCCGGCUAACUUCGUGCCAGCCGCCGCCGUAAAAC